ensembl:lncRNA
GCAAAGUCACAGGGCCCUCUGCAGCUCAAUCUGAGAGACCGAGGAGCCGUUGUAACGCCUUCAUCGGGUGCCACCUUUACACCGGUGGGGUAACUGUAGGCUUUCCCCACCCCGCAGUGCGGAUCUCGCCUGAUGAUGUCACAGUCCGGGGGGUGACAAAGGGGAGCAGCCUGGGGCCGCCUGGAGAAGCAGCGCUGUGUGCGCUAUGUGGGCCACACUGCUGUUCUUGGUGCUCCUCCUGCCUCCCACAGCGAUGAUCAGAAAGUUUAUUUUCCCUUUUGGUGAUUUCCUCUCCACUGAGGGAGAUGAAGAGGAGAAGAUUUCUGAGGAAGCAAAGUCACUAGAAUCCAGAUUUGGACCCCAGUAUCAUAACACUGCCCUACAGAGCUACAGUGAGGAACAGCCUUUGAAUGAAUCCAGAUUUGGACCCCAGUAUCAUAACGUUGCCCUACAGAACUACAGCGAGGAGCAGCCUUUGAAUGUGUCGGUGAACGCUGAUUUGAUCCAAGGGAACACAGCUGAAGAAAUCAAAAAAGAAGAUAUUAAAGACAGUGCAAUUAUUGCUGUGUCAUCUACAGCUCUCGCCAUCUACCUAAUAUUUAUGCUUUCUUUAUGUGUGGUUCUUAGAAGACGCAGAAUACAAAACGGCCAUAACAUCACACUUUGCCACCCCUACCCAACAACAGCAAUACAGCUGUUGGCGCUACUGACACGGGGAAGGAAAGUGCUCUGACCCAGAGGUCAGACGUCGACGCAGGUUCUGCAGAGAACUCCUCUUGAGAAAUUUUAAGAACUGGAGCAUGGAAAACUGGGGUUUCCAGGUCACAGGCCAAAUGCAACUGAUUUAGAAAAACUGCUUGGCUGCGGUCUUCUGAAGCCAGCUCAAAAUGCAGGAACCUUUCCGUUACUUUUCAUGAUCCUUCAUAUACAAGAAGUUAUGCAUUUUGAAAUUAUUUCCACCCCACAAUAUAGAAAUACAAAGUAGUUAUGCGGUUUCUUCAUUCUGAUAUCUAGUCAUUAAUAGAUUUAUUUUUUCCAGCCACUGGUACUAGCCAUCAGGCGGCUGUUAGCAGCCCAUUUCCAGUUAGUUUCUUCAUUCUUUUUAUUGUCAUUACUUCCACGUUUUCGGCAUUUUGAAGAUGUCCUCGACUACCUGAAAUUAAAGUGUUGCCUUGGGGAUC